rnacentral:tRNA from 1 species
CGGUGGCGUGUCCGAGCGGCCGAAGGUGAUCGCCUCGAAAGCGAUUGUUGGGUAACCCCCAACCGCGGGUUCAAAUCCCGCCGCCACCGCACC